UACGUAGGGUGCGAGCGUUAAUCGGAAUUACUGGGCGUAAAGUGUGCGCAGGCGGCCGAGCAAGUCGAGUGUGAAAGCCCCGGGCUUAACUUGGGAAUUGCGCUCGAAACUACUUGGCUGGAGUGUGGCAGAGGAAGGUGGAAUUCCAGGUGUAGCGGUGAAAUGCGUAGAUAUGUGGAGGAACACCGAUGGCGAAGGCAGCCUUCUGGGCCAACACUGACGCUCAUGCACGAAAGCGUGGGGAGCAAACAGG
rnacentral:rRNA from 1 species